rnacentral:lncRNA from 1 species
AAAGUUAUCUGUCUCGGUCAAAUACACCAAAAACAAAAUACGUGAGCUCACCAAAGAAGGUUCGCCUUAGAGAGUUCUAUGAAUGAGACCUAACAUCGAAGAAAAUCCUCUCUAUACAAAAAGGACUUUAGAAGAAGAGGAUAUGAAACUGAAAAGAACCUUAUGUGGAAGGCUUUAUCUGGAGAAGUGUUGAUUUCGACCAGAACGGAUAGCAAGGACUUACCUGAUCCUGC